rnacentral:rRNA from 1 species
UACGAAGGGGGCUAGCGUUGUUCGGAAUCACUGGGCGUAAAGCGCAUGCAGGCGGGUCGCUAAGUCGGGGGUGAAAUCCCGAGGCUCAACCUCGGAACUGCCUUCGAUACUGGCGAUCUCUGAGUCCGGGAGAGGUGAGUGGAACUCCGAGUGUAGAGGUGAAAUUCGUAGAUAUUCGGAAGAACACCAGUGGCGAAGGCGGCUCACUGGCCCGGUACUGACGCUGAGAUGCGAAAGCGUGGGGAGCAAACAGG